CAGCUGUGUGACUGUUGUGGGUGGGGAAGCCCAGGACAGCGAAGGCCUUCCUGGGGGCCAGGAAUAGGAUGUGGAGCACUUUCAGCCAGGGCCCCAAUCCUGUCACCCUCCUGGGCCCUGGUCGGGGACUGAUACCGGAGCAUGCAGAGGGUGAGCUAGACCAAUCCAAUUCGUGAGAACGCUGAGGAAGCAAGGGAACCGCCCUCAACAGGGGGCUCAGGGUAGGAUUCGUGACCGAUUGUCAUGUGCUAACCCUACUGGUCUCAGCUCUCUCUGCUUUAAUCCCCUCUGUGACACACACACACACACACACAUAUGAGGCACCAACUGAAAGUGUGACUGGGCUGUGUGCCAAGUACCGCCCUAGAGAUAGUCCGGGGUGACAUGGUGUCCAUGCAAAAGCCCGCAAUUACCAGGCUGGUGUCCCUACUGAGAAGUGUCCCUGGCUUGGGGUGGUCUCCCAUCAAUCAGGUCCCCAGGGGCUACUUAGGUUUGUCUGUGAGGGAGGAAAGCCUGAGAGCCAGUUGUGCCUGAUGUGCCCUAGCCCCACCCAGCCAGGCUGCACAAAAGCCCUGGGUGUCUGGUCCUUCUGAUUGGCAUAACGGCUUCAUUAGCCUGACUGGUGCUGGCAAGAUUCACCGGCAUCAGGUACCUAGAGAGAGGAGGCCUGGCCGCCAGGCGCUAAGUGGCCUGGCUCUGGACAGUCUCUUGGUAAGAGAGCCAAAAGUGUAGGUGUCUAUUUAAUUUUGGGACACUCCCCCCAACAGCCCCAGAUGGAGCAGAGCUAUCAGCAUUGACAUUUGUGUGAUAUGAGGGGCCUGCUGGGCUCCAGGGCGUGUGAGGAAGAUCUCCUUGGACAGGUAGCUUUCUUGGGCCUCACCAUCCGGACAUCCACUGCUGUCUCCAAAGCUAUGUCCACUGCCCACUAAGGGGGUCUUUCAGUUCUGGAUCCCAUCAGGGGUUCUACCUCAGAAUAGGUGGUCCUUAAGUGUCUGACUGGUGUGGGGUCUAGUUCCUGUAUAAUGAGCUGCGGUUUUGUGGCAAGUGGUAAUACUGUUGGCAGGUCCAGGUGUUGAAUGGGUAUGUGUUGGUUCACAGGGAGAUGGACUGGGCUGAGUUGUUAUAGUCACAGUGAGCCAGCCCAGCCUCUGAAGAUGCUGCCCUAGACACCAGCUCAGAACCCUCUUAUGGAGGCUGGCCUAACAGUCAGGCUGUGCACUGCUCAAAGGAGCCCCUCUGCAGGGUGUAGGUCAUAUCCCAGCUACACACAGGUCCACAGCAGGCUGGGUCCUCCAGCCUGCCUUCAGGGUACUUAGAUGAUAGCAAGCACACCUUUCUUUUUUUUCUUUUAAGUUUUUAUUAUUGGUUAUUCAAGACAAGGUAUUGCUUUGGAGGUUGUUCUGGAACUCGUUCUGUAGACCAGCUUGGCCUGGAACUCAUAGAGAUCUGCCUGCCUCUGCCUCCUGAGUGCUGGGAUUAAAGGCAUUUAUUUAAUUUUUAUAUGCAUUGGUAUUUGACCUGCUUGUAUGCCUGUGUGAGGGAGUUGGAGCCAUUGGAACUAGAGUUACAGUUGUGAGCUGCCAUGUGGGUGCUGGGAAUUCCACUCAGAUUCUUUGGCAGAGCAGCCAAUGUUCUUAAUCACUAAGCCAUCUCUCUAGCCCUAAUGCACACCUUUUUAUUUUUUUUUCUGGUUUUUCGAGACAGGGUUUCUCUGUGUAGCUUUGGAGCCUAUCCUGGCACUCAGUCUGGAGACCAGGCUGGCCUCGAACUCACAGAUAUCCGCCUGCCUCUGCCUCCCGAGUGCUGGGAUUAAAGGCGUGCGCACCAACACCCGGCAUGCACGCCUCUUAUUUAGGGUUCACAUGUGUCUGCCAUGGUGGCCUGUCUAGGCUGCACAUGAGGGAGGACAUCCUCUCUAGGACCCCAUUUACCCACCCUGAACCAGAGGAGAAGAUGCUAUGCCCAAAGUACAGCUGUCUGAUGCUACCAGGUCUGGGGGCAGAUUUGGGCCACCUGAUUCAACACUUCACCAGGUAUAUCUUGGGGAGGGGCACCUUUGAUGGACUCAGAGGCCUUUGGAGUGAGCAACACCCAACCCCUCUGGACCCAGCAGUGGGACAUUCUAACCACAGCCGGGUCUGAAAGGCAAGGGUCACCUCAACCGUUAGUCUGGCUAUGUCAAGGCUAGGGUCUGAGUUGAUGCCUUCUCAGUAAGAGUCCAGCGGGGGGCAGGGACACAGGGUGCCCUGAAGGCCCCCAGACUCAAGGUUCACCACACACCUAGCUCUUAAGAAACCUUUCUCAGAUCAGAGUGGUGGGGGCUGGGUCUUCCUGGCCACAAAAGGCCUCUCUGCCCUGUCCCCCAGGAGUGUUUAAUAGUACCCCAGAACUCAGAUAACCCUCCACCCUCAUCUAGAUUAGCCCAACCUGGGGCUCCUGCCAGCAUGAUGCCUGCUGCCAUGGCAACCAGCAUGUGGGCCAGGCUGGGUGCCCAGCAACACUGGUCCUGGCAGUGUGAACUGGCACAGGCCUGUCAGGACCGGAAUGGGUCUUUUCCCCCCUUGAUGACGCCCGGAGCCCUGGAAGCUAGGAAACAGCUGGGCAGACCUGUAGCCAAGGCCUGACCUUUCACAACCCUCCAGGGAAACCAGGAAACCCCAGUAUUUCACCCUUCCAGAGAUGCUCCCAGCCCCACCCCACGGUGGCAGCUGAGGUUGAGAUCUCUGCCCCAGGACUUCUGUAGCCAGCCCCUUCCUGCAAGGAGGGCAGGUACCCAAGUGGCAGCAUGCUGCCCAACACAACCCACAUACCACACCUUGGUUUCCUCAUUCUUGUGCAGGGCAUCUGCUCCGCCCAGGGUCCAGCUUGGCAGAGGCCCAAGCCCCACCUCCUGCUGCGCUCUCCUCCCUGGGCUCUCGAAUCAAUUUUUCAUGCCGGGCUCUCUGCAGUUCCCCUUACACACAGCGAAGGGGGAGGGGCCUUGCGUCUGCUACCCUGCCUAUGCCGAGGUUCACUUACUGAGGCCUGCAGACCUGGUUUAGGGUAACAGGCUCCGCUCCACAGGAGGGAGGGGCUCUCUUGACUGCACAGUGAGCACCUCACCUCACUCAGCCCUCUCCCUCUCCUCCCCGACCCCAGCCUGAGCAAGGCAGCUCACUGAAGUCCCUGGGUUCUUUUUCUGUUGCUGUUUUCCAUUUUUUUUAUUUUGAGAUUAUGAUAUAAUUACAUCACAUCUUCCUUUCUAAGCCACCCUUUGCUCUUUCAAAUUCAUGGCCCCUCUUUUUUUGUCAUUUUAAGACAGGAUUUCCCUGUGUUGUAGAGGGUGGCCUCUACCCCGUAGGGCUGAAAUUACAGGCAUGUAAAACAUGCCUGGCUAAAUCUCUUUCUGCUGUUGCUAUAGCUCAGUGAUGCUGCAUCGCCUUGCCUGUUAGACGCCAGGCCCUUAGGUUUGAUCUCCAGUGCCACCAGAGCACAGCAAAUGACUGAAACAUCUGUUGUAUGUCAACUCUCCUGCCACCCCAGUCCCCUUCACAAAUAAACACUAUGAGACCUCCUGGCUUUCCUCGAUUUAAAACCACACAAAGUGGUGACACCUCACAAGCUAAGACAAGGGAGCAGGGACCAGAGGACUCUGUCAUAUCAGAAAAUCCCAAGGCUUUAGCAAGGCCAAGAGUCUCCAAGAGGAGCACGAGGACAGAACAGAGGGUGUCCCGAACAAAUGUGUGACCACUGGGUCAUCCUUCAACACUCAAACCUCAGGGCAGGAGGGAGGGAGCAUUCACGAAGCAUCUGAGCCUGGGUCCCUGGAUGUGUGGGACUCACUGAGGAUCAGGUCUGCUCCUAGGAAACAGAUACCUGUGUGGGCAGUGUGAGCCCUCAACACUAGGGGCGAAGGCAGCCUCUGCCCAGCUUUCAUCUCUGAGAUCUUGCCAUUUCUGUGGACACAAAGGCCCAGCCAUGCCCAGAUACACAGCCACAACUGUGUGCAGAGCUCAGCUUGCUUUCCACGAACUAGACCCUUCUCAUGUCAGUCACAGGCACUUGUAAUGUGUGUGUGUGUGUCUGUGUGUGUCCUUUGUGUGUGCAUGGAUGUACGAAUAGGCCAAAAACUGAUGCCGGGUGCCUUUCAGUUGCGUCCAUCUUCCCUUUUAAUUAAUUAAUUUCUUACAGUUGUGUCCACCUUCCCUAUUAAUUAAUUAAUUUAUGUAUUACGAGUGUAGAGUCAAUUCUUCCCUCCCACCCUUGCAUGGGUCCUUCGGACCGAACUCAGGUGAACACAUUUUCAUGGUAAUGCCUUUCCCUCCUGAGUCAUCUCAUCAGCCCCUACCUUACCUUUUGAGACUGGGCCUCUUACCUGGAACUCACUGACUCAGCUACACUGGUUGGACCCCCAGGCAAUGUGACACCAUCCACCGUGGCUGGGUCUUCCCACAUCAGUCACUAAGAACUCAGAGAGACCUAUCUGCCUGCCUCUGCCUCCCAAGU
rnacentral:lncRNA from 1 species